UCGAAAAAUGGAGAAGUUUCCAGAACUACUGCUUUUGACAAAUGGCAGAAACUUCUUACAAACUUCAGAAAGAAAAGCAGACACAUCCACUCUCUCUGGAACUUUCUUUUCCACCGCCUUAUAUUCUCACUCUGCUCUCUCUUCCACCUGACACCCAACAAUCAUUGUAAUCUCAGAACAUCCCCAAAAACAUUCUCAGUUCCUUUUCCUACGAAAACUGAACCUUAGGACAGAGCUCCGAAAUAAACUGAAUACUCCAUAGAGAAAAACAACGGUACAGUUCACAACAUCGGUAUUUUUAUUGCAAAACCCAAGUGACAAGCAAGACACAAGCUAUGGAAGGAGUGGUAAUUAAAGAAGAGGAAACGGUGACGUUUGCAGCUGGAACUGCAGGGUUGUCUUCAUCUUCAUCAUCAUCAUCAUCAUCUUCUUCUUCUUCUCCGUCUUCGUCUUCGAAAGUUACUCCACAGCCCAUGGAAGGGCUUAACGAAGUUGGUCCACCGCCGUUCUUGACCAAGACUUUCGAAAUGGUGGAAGACCCUUCGACGGACUCGGUGGUUUCAUGGAGUAAAGCUCGUAAUAGCUUCAUUGUUUGGGAUUCUCAUAAGUUCUCGACUACUCUGCUUCCUAGGUAUUUCAAGCACAGUAAUUUCUCCAGCUUCAUUCGCCAGCUCAAUACAUAUGGUUUUAGAAAAGUUGAUCCUGAUCGUUGGGAAUUUGCCAAUGAAGGGUUUCUGGGAGGGCAAAAGCAUCUGUUGAAAACGAUCAAGAGGAGAAGAAAUAUCCUGCAAAGUUCGCAACAGCAGGGAGAAGGAGCUUGCGUUGAGUUAGGGCAAUUUGGACUAGAAGGUAAACUUGAGAGGUUGAGGAGAGAUCGAACUGUGUUACUAGCAGAAAUCGUGAGACUAAGGCAGCAACAGCAGCAUUCGAGAGACCAAAUUGUUGCAAUGGAGGAUCGGUUACAAAGCACGGAGAGGAAGCAGCAGCAGAUAAUGACAUUCCUUGCCAAGGCUCUUCGUAACCCAACCUUUUUUCAGCAAUUUGCUCAAAAAAAACAAAUGCAAGGUGUCGAAAUUGGGAGAAAAAGGAGACUAACAGCUAAUCCGAGCAUAGAGAAUUUGCAAGAAGAAGCAAUUCCAGUGGUAGUUGAUACCGAGCAAGUUCUCAAUUACGCCAAUCAAGAGCAAGAAGAAUUGGCAACCAUAGAGUCUGAGAUAGAGACAUUUUUCACUUCUGCGUUGGACAAUGAAUCAAGCAGUGAAAUCAAGUAUCCGAUAACAAGUUCGGAGCCCACAUCUGGUGGAGCUAAUUUAGGUUCUGUUAAUGACACGAUAUGGGAGGAGUUCAUAAGUGAUGACCUAAUAGCUGUUGAACAGGAGGAGGAAAUUGUGGUCGGUGAUCAGGCUGAAGUUGAUGUUGAGGUGGAGGAUUUGGGUGUAAACCCUGAAGAUUGGGGUGAUGACUUGCAGGACCUUGUGGAUCAGAUGGGUUAUCUCAGGUCAAAUCCAUGACCAAACACAUUAAUGGAUUGUAUGAUGUUAUUGUUGUAGGCUUGAGUUGGUCUCUGCGACACCAUUCCUGGUUUUCUUGAGCUGCAGGGAGUGGUGGAAGUUGCUAAGGGGCCAACAGAUGUUCCUGUUAUUCUGUAUCCUUUAUUGAUAAUCUAGUCCUUGAUUUCCUUUGGUACUUUAUAAUGCGCUUUGGAAUUUGAUUUAUUAGUUACAUGAUACUUACUUCUUGCAGUGAAAUUUUGCAGGCGACAGAAAUUUAUGGGGAACCUCUUCAAUCCAUGAGUCUGUCAUGAGCUUCUAGUUCCAGAAUUUUGGCUCUAUUACCUAUACAAGUAUGCUCUUUAGGUUCCUGUAAAUUAUCAUUAGUGUUUGUUUAUGCAAAUUAUCAGUUUUAAACUUUCAAUCCAUACGUAUAUAAAGGGUUGCAUGCUUGAUAUCCACUUAUAUUCAUCAUUUUUCUAGACUAGAUAGACCAUCUUAGGUCAUUACCGAAAGGAUUAAAUUCUUUGUAAGUGGUCUGAUCAAGUGGCAAAACUCAAACCAAAUAAGAUCUUCCAUGAUCAGUGUAGAGUAACUAAAAUAUUUCACAAGUGUGUUUUCCUUGUAUAAAAAUUGACAAAGUAUCAAUCAUACCAAAAUGGAUCCUUCACAUUCAGAGAUUAAAGAAGGAAACCAACGCAUGGGAGGUUAAACACCUUUAUGAAGAGAAAAAUCAAAUGGCUGAUAACCUUGCUAGGGCUGGGAUUAACCGACAAGUGGAGCUCCUUCACAUUUUUGAUUAAGCUGCUGGGGAGGUAUAGAUCGGGAUGGAGGAACUGGCAGGGGAAGUGGAAUCUCACUUACUGCUUGCUGUGAGUUUGUCUGUGUUUUAUCCCCUGUUCUUUCUCUGUUGAUUGUUGGACUUGAUUUUGAUGCUUCAGGUAUUUCAGCUCUGUUGAAAACUUGAAUUGGGGUGGUUUGUGUAGUAAGGGGUGGGUACACUGUUGUAUGUAUGAGGGAGGGGAUUUGUUUUUUGUUUUUGGUGACUGAUGGGUUAUUUUGUUUUACGAGAGAUUUUGAUCUUGUACAGAGAAUGUCGAGGUUUUUAGGCCGUUAUGCUGGGGAGAUGCACAACGCCCUUAAAUCCUCCUUUUGUUCUUAGCAAGGAAGCUUUACUCCCUGGUUGAAUGAAACUUGUUACUUUUCAAAAAAAAAAAAAAAAA